CCUACGGGAGGCAGCAGUGAGGAAUAUUGGUCAAUGGGCGUAAGCCUGAACCAGCCAAGUCGCGUGAGGGAUGAAGGUUCUAUGGAUCGUAAACCUCUUUUAUAAGGGAAUAAAGUGUGGGACGUGUCCUAUUUUGUAUGUACCUUAUGAAUAAGGAUCGGCUAACUCCGUGCCAGCAGCCGCGGUAAUACGGAGGAUUCGAGCGUUAUCCGGAUUUAUUGGGUUUAAAGGGUGCGUAGGCGGUCUUAUAAGUCAGCGGUGAAAGUCCGUGGCUCAACCAUAGAAUUGACGUUGAAACUGGUGGGCUUGAGGAUGUUUGAGGCAGGCGGAAUGCAUGGUGUAGCGGUGAAAUGCUUAGAGAUCACGCAGAACCCCGAUUGCGAAGGCAGCCUGCCAAGCCAUGACUGACGCUGAUGCACGAAAGCGUGGGGAUCAAACAGGAUUAGAUACCCCUGUAGUC
rnacentral:rRNA from 1 species